rnacentral:rRNA from 1 species
CCUACGGGAGGCAGCAGUGAGGAAUAUUGGUCAAUGGCCGGAAGGCUGAACCAGCCAAGCCGCGUGAAGGACGAAGGUGCCAAGCAUUGUAAACUUCUUUUGUCAAGGGACAAAAUCAGGCUCGAGAGCCUGACCGAGGGUACUUGAAGAAAAAGCAUCGGCUAACUCCGUGCCAGCAGCCGCGGUAAUACGGAGGAUGCGAGCGUUAUCCGGAUUUAUUGGGUUUAAAGGGUGCGUAGGCGGACUGUUAAGUCAGCGGUAAAGGCCCGGGGCUCAACCCCGGCGAGCCGUGGAAACUGGCUGUCUUGAGAUGUCGAGAGGUAUGCGGAAUGCGCAGUGUAGCGGUGAAAUGCUUAGAUAUUGCGCAGAACUCCGAUUGCGAAGGCAGCAUACCGGCGGCGUUCUGACGCUGAGGCACGAAAGCGUGGGUAUCGAACAGGAUUAGAUACCCGGGUAGUC